rnacentral:rRNA from 1 species
UACGGAGGAUGCAAGCGUUAUCCGGAAUGAUUGGGCGUAAAGCGUCCGCAGGUGGCUGUGUAAGUCUGCUGUCAAAGAGCGAAGCUCAACUUCGUAAAGGCAGUGGAAACUACACGGCUAGAGUGCGUUCGGGGCAGAGGGAAUUCUUGGUGUAGCGGUGAAAUGCGUAGAUAUCAAGAGGAACACCUGCGGCGAAGGCGGGUUGCUGGGCCGACACUGACGCUGGAGGCGCGAAAGCUAGGGGAGCGAACGGG